rnacentral:rRNA from 1 species
CUGAGAGGAUGAUCAGCCACACUGGAACUGAGACACGGUCCAGACUCCUACGGGAGGCAGCAGUGGGGAAUCUUGCGCAAUGGGCGAAAGCCUGACGCAGCGACGCCGCGUGGGUGACGAAGGCCUUCGGGUUGUAAAGCCCUGUGGGGAGGAACGAAACCGUCCGGGGGGCCCAAUACCCUCCGGGCCUGACGGUACCUCUUUAGCAAGCAUCGGCUAACUCUGUGCCAGCAGCCGCGGUAAGACAGAGGAUGCGAACGUUGCUCGGAAUUACUGGGCGUAAAGCGCGCGUAGGUGGCCUUGUAAGUCUCGUGUGAAAGCCCUCUGCUCAACGGAGGAAGUGCACGGGAUACUGCGAGGCUGGAGUACAGAAGAGGACAGCGGAAUUCCCGGUGUAGAGGUGAAAUUCGUAGAUAUCGGGAGGAACACCAGUG